UAUCAUGGCUGAAAUGAAUGGGCAUCCAAGUU
rnacentral:piRNA from 1 species